rnacentral:rRNA from 1 species
GAUUAUGGCUCAGGAUGAACGCUGGCGGCGUGCUUAAUACAUGCAAGUCGAACGGACGAAAUCAGAAAGCUUGCUUUUGAUCUAGUUAGUGGCGAACGGGUGAGUAAUACGUAGGCAACCUGCCCAGAGAGGGGGGAUAGCAGUUGGAAACGACUAUUAAUACCGCAUAGGUAAUUGGAAGGCAUCUUCUAAUUAUUAAAGACGCGUUUGCGUCGCUAUGGGAUGGGCUUACGCUGUAUUAGCUUGUUGGUGAGGUAACGGCCCACCAAGGCGAUGAUACAUAGCCGGCCUGAGAGGGUGAUCGGCCACAUUGGGACUGAGACACGGCCCAGACUCCUACGGGAGGCAGCAGUAAGGAAUUUUCGGCAAUGGACGAAAGUCUGACCGAGCAACGCCGCGUGAGUGAUGAAGGCCUUCGGGCCGUAAAGCUCUGUGGUAAAGGAAGAACACUACUUAUAGGAAUGAUAAGUAGCUGACGGUACUUUACUAGAAAGUCACGGCUUACUACGUGCCAGCCGCCGC